GUGGGGAAUUUUGGACAAUGGGCGCAAGCCUGAUCCAGCAAUGCCGCGUGCAGGAAGAAGGCCUUCGGGUUGUAAACUGCUUUUGUACGGAACGAAAAGGCUCUGGUUAAUACCUGGGGCUCAUGACGGUACCAUAAGAAUAAGCACCGGCUAACUACGUGCCAGCAGCCGCGGUAAUACGUAGGGUGCAAGCGUUAAUCGGAAUUACUGGGCGUAAAGCGUGCGCAGGCGGUUUUGUAAGACAGAGGUGAAAUCCCCGGGCUCAACCUGGGAAUGGCCUUUGUGACUGCAAGGCUGGAGUGCGGCAGAGGGGGAUGGAAUUCCGCGUGUAGCAGUGAAAUGCGUAGAUAUGCGGAGGAACACCGAUGGCGAAGGCAAUCCCCUGGGCCUGCACUGACGCUCAUGCACGAAAGCGUGGGGAGCAAACAGGAUUAGAAACCCUAGUAGUCC
rnacentral:rRNA from 1 species